UACGUAGGGUGCGAGCGUUAAUCGGAAUUACUGGGCGUAAAGGGCUCGUAGGCGGCCAACUAAGUCGGACGUGAAAUCCCCAGGCUCAACCUGGGAACUGCGUCCGAUACUGGAUGGCUUGAAUCCGGGAGAGGGAUGCAGAAUUCCAGGUGUAGCGGUGAAAUGCGUAGAUAUCUGGAGGAAUACCGGUGGCGAAGGCGGCAUCCUGGACCGGCAUUGACGCUGAGGAGCGAAAGCCAGGGGAGCAAACGGG
rnacentral:rRNA from 1 species